CUAAAGGACCAGAUUGCCAGCUGGGAGCUGCUAAUGGCCAGAGGAUUCCAGGAGCCUGCCUCCAGCGACAUAGGCUCCGAGCUGAAACACGGCGAUCGUGUUGCUUGAACCCCGAUUCAGCCAUGCCUGAAGUCCCUGCACUUUUAAAUUAAGGGGACAACACGGGUUUCCUUUUUUAAAAAAUCAAGGUAUAGUUGACUUACAAUAUUGUGUUAGUUUCAGGAGCAAAAAGUUUUCACUGUUGCUGAAGAAAUCUUCAACUGGCUUUCCUGUCACUUAGAAUGAGGACAACACGAAUGAAAUUCUAACUGAAAGAGCAUCAGCUUGUCUACCAUGAUUCUCAAGGGCAGACCCUCUCUGACAGCCACGGCAGGGCAUAGAGGACCUCAGAACAGAGCCACCUGGGCAGUCCUCAACAAAAAGGCUGCAGUUCUGAGCUGAGCUGCCUGAGCAUGGGGAGUUGGCAUCUGCCUGCCUGGCUUCCUCUCAGUGGAAAGUGGCUGCCCUGGCCAGAUCCCCUGGAGCGCUCACUGUCGGACCUGUCAGGACGCUUUGCUGAGCUCAGAGGCACCUACCCCAGAGACACAAGGCAAGGCUGUUUUUCACCGUCCCCUGGGUGCCUCGGGCCUGGAGGAGUGACCAGGCAGGGAUCCAGGCAACAGGACAGAACGGCCCCGGGCAGCCACUGUUGUUUACUGCUGGGGGUGUGCCAGGGGACCGGAAGGUGAGCUGCCAUCCCACCCCCCUUGCUGCCCCCCUCCGGGAGACGGUGCGCUCCGUGAGUGUCCUGGGGGACAGGAAACCGGGGGCUUCCCUGAAGCCAAGUAAGCAGCCUUCUGGAUGUAUUUCCCACAGGAGUAUGUGAGCUCCGAAUCUGGGGCAAGUGCUGGAGACAGGAACAGAGGAAAAAGAGCACUUUCAGGAGGUCAAACCCAGCCUUUCUGCUUUCUGGGUUCCGGAGGUAGACAGUCUGGGGUACCAUUUGCCUUCCUUGGAUAAGACCCUAACUUCUUGCCGUACUUAUACUAGUAGUUACUGAGCACCUCCUGUGUGCUAGGGAUUCAAUGUUAAGCAAAAAAUGGACCCAGUUUCCUUGGAGAUUACAGCUAGUGAAGGAGAGAAAUAUAAACCAAAUAACCAAUAACGCCCCCACCACUACCACCAAAAAGGUGGAAUGUCCAGGAGAGAGGCACAGUUUAUAAUUAGGGAGAACCCACCCCCUCUGGGAAGUCAGAGAGGGCUUUCCUAAAGAAAUGCCUGGGACCCGAGGUCUGUUCACUGCACAGGGUAGCAGGGUCAUUCCAGACAGAGGGCACGGCGGGAUAGUCAAAGGCAGGCCAUUUGGUGGGAGGGAGAAUGGCUGUUCCAAGGACCUGGAAGAAAGAAGGCUGACAUGGCCAAAGUGCAGGUGCAGGUGGAGGGCAGAGCCAGCAAGAGUAUGGGUCUUUACCUGAGAGCGAUGGGAAGCCUUCUGUGGGGCUCCACGCAGGCAGGUGAGAUGAUCACGUGUGCGGUUUGAAAAGAUUCCUCUGGCAGCAGCCAGCGCCGGAUCGGAAGGGAACCAAGGCCCGCCGGGGAGGCUGGUUAGGAAGUCUCGGAUGUUUGCCUGUAAAAUGGGGAUGAUGAUGAUAAUACCAUCUAAUAAGCUGUUGCCAGGAUUCAAGGAAGUAUUUAUGCCAGUGCCUGGCACACAGUAAAGGCUCAGUAAAUGUU